AGGCGAUGAAGGACGUACUAGACUGCGAUAAGCUACGGGGAGUUGUCAAGAAGCUUUGAUCCGUAGAUUUCCGAAUGGGGCAACCCAAUGUGUAGAGAUGCACAUUACCUAAUAUGGAGCAAACCUAGCGAAGUGAAACAUCUCAGUAGCUAGAGGAAAAGAAAUCAACAGAGAUUCUCCUAGUAGCGGCGAGCGAACGGGGAAAAGGGCAAACCAGUAGCUUGCUACUGGGGUUUUGGACUGCAAUAUCCACUACAACAAUCUAGCAGAAGUAUUUGGAAAAAUACAUCAUAGAGGGUGAUAGUCCCGUAUGCGAAAGGUUGUUGUUAGGUAGCAGUAUCCAGAGUAGGUCAGGACACGAGAAAUCCGGACUGAAGAUGGGGAGACCACUCUCCAACCCUAAAUACUACUCUCUUACCGAUAGUGAACAAGUACCGUGAGGGAAAGGUGAAAAGAACCGCAGUGAGCGGAGUGAAAUAGAACCUGAAACCAUUUGCCUACAAUCAUUCAGAGCACCAUAGUGAGUCCCUUUGAGAAAUCACCGGGGGGGGGGUAACUAUUUGUUAUCUCUCUCUUUCCGUUCUUGUUUUCUCUUAUUUUUUUGAUAAGCAGAAAAGUGUGAAAAAAAUUAGCUAUAUUCUGUUAUUUUCUUUAGCGUUAUGUAGCAGUAUUGCACUGCUAGUUAUUAUAACAAGCGAUAGUAGCUAUUUAACACAGAGUGGUAAUACUACUUAUCAUAGUGAUAGAAGUUUUACUAUGAUAAGAAAAGUAGAUUGUUGGAACAACAGAAAAUUCUAAGAUUUUGAGAUGAUUUUUGUGGUUGCGUAGAAAUUUCUGCGGAGACUAGACUUAAAGUCUGUCGCACAAAGAAAUUUCAAGCUCCACCAAAAGCACUCAAAAGCUGAAUUUAGAUGAUUUUUCAAAGGGAUUCACUGGUGUGAUGGACUGCCUUUUGCAUAAUGAUCCUGCGAGUUGUGGUAUCUGGCAAGGUUAAGCAAACGCGAAGCCGUAGCGAAAGCGAGUCUGAAAGGGCGAUUUAGUCAGAUGCUGCAGACCCGAAGCCAAGUGAUCUAUCCAUGGCCAAGUUGAAGUAAGUGUAACAACUUAUGGAGGACUGAACUCGUACCCAUUGAAACGGGUUGGGAUGAGCUGUGGAUAGGGGUGAAAGGCCAAACAAACUUGGUAAUAGCUGGUUCUCUUCGGAAUAUAUUUAGGUAUAGCCUCAAGUAAUAGCAAUACGGGGUAGAGCUCUGAUUGGGCUAGGGCUGCUCACCGCGGUACCAACCCCUGUCAAACUUCGAAUACCUAUUGCCGUAUCUUGGGAGUCAGGCGGUGGGUGAUAAAAUCAAUCGUCUAAAGGGGAACAACCCAGACUACCAACUAAGGUCCCAAAGUUCUAUUCUAAGUGGAAAAUGAUGUGGAGUUACUCAGACAACCAGGAGGUUGGCUUAGAAGCAGCCAUCCUUUAAAGAAAGCGUAACAGCUCACUGGUCUAGUGAUUCUGCGCAGAAAAUAUAACGGGGCUAAGAUAGACACCGAAGUUGUAGAUUGCACUUUGUGCAGUGGUAGAAGAGCGUUCGUAUCAGCGUUGAAGGUAUACCGGUAAGGAGUGCUGGAGCGAUGCGAAGUGAGCAUGCAGGAAUGAGUAGCGAUAAAAGUGGUGAGAAUCCACUUCGCCGAAAGUCUAAGGUUUCCUACGCGAUGCUCGUCAUCGUAGGGUUAGUCGGGUCCUAAGACAAGUCAGAAAUGGGUAGUCGAUGRAAAAUAGGUUAAUAUUCCUAUACCAAUAUAAGUGUGCGAUGGAAGGACGCAUAGGGUUAGGUGAGCCAACGGAUGGAAGUGUUGGUCGAAAAGCGUAGAUUGGGGGAUAGGCAAAUCCACCCCUGUAUUCGAAACUUGACAGGCUCUUUGAAGUCUUCGGAUGGAAGAGAGAAUCACUGAUACCGUCGUGCCAAGAAAAGUUUCUAAGUUUAGCUUAUAUUGCCCGUACCGCAAACCGACACAGGUAGAUGGGAUGAGUAUUCUAAGGCGCGUGAAAGAACUCUCUUUAAGGAACUCUGCAAACUAGCACCGUAAGUUCGCGAUAAGGUGUGCCACAGCAAUGUGGUCUCAGCAAAGAGUCCCUCCCGACUGUUUACCAAAAACACAGCACUUUGCAAACUCGUAAGAGGAAGUAUAAGGUGUGACGCCUGCCCGGUGCUCGAAGGUUAAGAGGAUUAGUCAGUAGCAAUACGAAGCUUUGAAUUGAAGCCCGAGUAAACGGCGGCCGUAACUAUAACGGUCCUAAGGUAGCGAAAUUCCUUGUCGGUUAAAUACCGACCUGCAUGAAUGGCGUAACGAGAUGGGAGCUGUCUCAAAGAGAGAUUCAGUGAAAUUGUAGUGGAGGUGAAAAUUCCUCCUACCCGCGGCAAGACGGAAAGACCCCGUGGACCUUUACUACAGCUUGGCACUGCCGAUGGGAGCAUUAUGCGCAGGAUAGGUGGGAGGCUUUGAAGUCUUCACUCUGGUGGAGAUGGAGCCAUCCUUGAGAUACCACCCUUAAUGUUUCUGUCUGCUAACUGGCUUAUGUUAUCCAUAAGCAGGACAAUGCCUGGUGGGUAGUUUGACUGGGGCGGUCGCCUCCUAAAAAGUAACGGAGGCUUGCAAAGGUUGGCUCAUUGCGGUUGGAAAUCGCAAGUAGAGUGUAAUGGCAUAAGCCAGCCUGACUGUAAGACAAACAAGUCGAGCAGAGACGAAAGUCGGUCAUAGUGAUCCGGUGAUUCUGUGUGGAAGGGUCAUCGCUCAAAGGAUAAAAGGUACCCCGGGGAUAACAGGCUGAUCUCCCCCAAGAGCUCACAUCGACGGGGAGGUUUGGCACCUCGAUGUCGGCUCAUCGCAUCCUGGGGCUGGAGCAGGUCCCAAGGGUAUGGCUGUUCGCCAUUUAAAGCGGUACGCGAGCUGGGUUCAGAACGUCGUGAGACAGUUCGGUCCCUAUCUGCCGUGGGCGUAGGAAAGUUGAGGAGAGCUGUCCCUAGUACGAGAGGACCGGGAUGGACACGCCACUGGUGUAGCAGUUGUUCUGCCAAGAGCAUCGCUCUGUAGCUACGCAUGGAUGUGAUAACCGCUGAARGCAUCUAAG
rnacentral:rRNA from 1 species